UAGGUCUCUCUGUUAGACAGGUAGGUAUGAUAGGUCUCUGUUAGACAGGUAGGUAUGAUAGGUCUCUCUGUUAGACAGGUAGGUAUGAUAGGUCUCUCUGUUAGACAGGUAGGUAUGAUAGGUCUCUCUGUUAGACAGGUAGGUAUGAUAGGUC